rnacentral:rRNA from 1 species
ACCUGCGGAAGGAUCAUUAUUGAAUAAACAUGAUAGGCUGUUGCUGGCUCUUUAGAGGAGCAAGUGCACGCUUGUCGUCUUUAUUUUAUCCACCAUGUGCACUGUUUGUAGAUCCUAGAGAAACAAUUAUCUGACAAUUCAGAUAGGUUGAGGACUGCUGUGUCUUUCAAAGCCAGCUUUGCCUUAUGUCUCUAGGCUCUAUGUCACUCACAUACACCUUAUGAAUGUAAUAGAAUGUUGACCUGGGUCUUUCAGUACCCAUAAAAAGUUUUAAUAUACAACUUUCAGCAACGGAUCUCUUGGCUCUCGCAUCGAUGAAGAACGCAGCGAAAUGCGAUAAGUAAUGUGAAUUGCAGAAUUCAGUGAAUCAUCGAAUCUUUGAACGCAUCUUGCGCUCCUUGGUAUUCCGAGGAGCAUGCCUGUUUGAGUGUCAUCAAAUUCUCAACUACAAUGAUUUCUUCAGUGUAGCUUGGAUUUGGGGGACUUUGGCUUCUAGAAGUCAGCUCCCCUGAAAUUGAUUAGCGGUACCUUUGUAGACCAUCUACAGGUGUGAUAAUUGUCUACACCUUAGUUGUCUGAAUGCUGCUUCCAACUUGAGUUUUGGAACUCGUGAUAAUCUGACCUCAAAUCAGG